rnacentral:rRNA from 1 species
UACGUAGGGUGCAAGCGUUGUCCGGAAUCAUUGGGCGUAAAGCGCGUGUAGGCGGUCCGGUAAGUCCGCUGUGAAAGUCGAGGGCUCAACCCUCGAAUGCCGGUGGAUACUGUCGGGCUUGAGUACGGGAGAGGCGAGUGGAAUUCCUGGUGUAGCGGUGAAAUGCGCAGAUAUCAGGAGGAACACCGAUUGCGAAGGCAGCUCGCUGGGACGUUACUGACGCUGAGACGCGAAAGCGUGGGGAGCAAACAGG